AUGUACCACAGGAUGAGGGAACAAAGUGAACCGUCUGAACAGAGAAGAGAGAUCUAUGAAUUCCCAGUGCUUCUAAAUGGAAUCUCCUUCUUUGUCUCAGCUGCACUUCCUCCAAGAAUUCUACCUUAUCGGUGCCCAGUGCUCAAGAGGACUGAACAGCUGGUGAUGCUUGAGUUGCUAUGGCAAAUAUAGUAUCUGUUCUGCAUACAAUAUUGAUGGAAAAUCUUCUGAUGUUCUGAGUGAUGACAAUAAAUAUGGCCCUCUGCUUCA
rnacentral:lncRNA from 1 species